UAAAGCGCAAUCAAUCGGGAUGCGGUCUUUCUUGAGCCCGAAAUAUUUUGAAUGUGGCUACAAUUGGCAGCUACUAAAGCGAUAAAAAAGACCGAGCACACGUGUGCUGGACACAUGUUGGAGACAUUUUGGGGAAAAAGACAAGCUCUGUAGCUGUCUUUGACCCUAAACCUGGAGGGUUGAGCGUCUUUUUUCAAAAUGGGCCUGCAUGCAAAAUCAAAAUAGAGUGAGAUUGGGACCUUUCCAUUGUGUAAUUGGGGGAUAAGGCGAUGUCCUUAGCCCCAUGCGGGGGUGAAAGUGAAAGGACUGGAAUGUGGGUCAUUCAUGCUUUUUUCCCAAUCUCAGUUCGGUGAAUGAACAUUGCCAACACCUACCAUCCUGCAUGUGCAUGACGCUCUCCCCAAUCAACCCAAACCGGUAGAGGGACAUGAUUUCAGAUUUGUUACUUUCCCAUUUUCUUUCAUGCUCUAAACAUGCUUGCAACCUUGGAAGGCCAUCAUUUCCAUAUAAUACCUACUCAUCAGAAGAUGAUAACAUGACCUUGAGAAGCAAUCAGCUGUACUGUGGAUGGUGACAUUAGGCUUUGGCCCAACUAUUACUUUUGGAAUCAAAACCAUGUGAGUUUCUGGUUGUUUAUUCUCCAAGAUAGAGUUUUUCUUCUUCGAUUCGGCUUUUUCAUUGUCCAAACAACUUGAAUUCAAUCUUGCUCCAUUUCUCUUAUCAUUUGGUAUCAGAUUUGGGCUCUUUUAGUGGUUUCCUUAUGCUAAACAAAUUAUUGUUGAUCGAAAA